UACAGAGGGGGCAAGCGUUGUCCGGAAUUACUGGGCGUAAAGCGCGCGUAGGCGGCUUUGCAAGUCGGGGGUGAAAUCCCCAGGCUUAACCUGGGAACUGCAUUCGAGACUGCAUUGCUAGAGUAUGGGAGAGGGAAGUGGAAUUUCCGGUGUAGCGGUGAAAUGCGUAGAUAUCGGAAGGAACAUCAGUGGCGAAAGCGACUUCCUGGACCAAUACUGACGCUCAUGUGCGAAAGCGUGGGGAGCAAACAGG
rnacentral:rRNA from 1 species